GGGAGCUGUUCGGGAACUGUUCGGGAGCUGUUCGGGAGCUGUUCGGGAACCGUUCGGGAACUGUUCAGUUGUUCAAGCAUCUUUUCUUGCUGCUCAAAUAAGACCUGAGAUUUGAAUUGUCAAUGAGCUCCAACAUCAGAAGACAGAGGAACAGAAGAAGCCUCUAAUUUGGAUGUGUGAGGUAUCGGAUGAUUUGACACAGGGAUAUCAAGGAUCUCUGAUCCCGUUCUUCAUAACGCUUCAUAAAGACUUCUUAAGGCUUCAUAAAGACUUCUUUAAGGCUUCAUAAAGACUUCUUUAAGGCUUCGUAAAGACUACUUUAAGGCUUCAUAAAGACUUCUUUAAGGCUUCAUAAAGACUUCUUAAGGCUUCAUAAAGACUUCUUUAAGGCUUCAUAAAGACUUCUUAAGGCUUCAUAAAGACUUCUUUAAGGCUUCAUAAAGA
rnacentral:lncRNA from 1 species